UCUAACAAAGCGAAGGUCUUUCAUUUUCAGAUAUGUGAUACUCAAAAUUUACCUGUAGAAUAGCCCCAGGAUGUGAUAUGACGAGUCCUCGGCAACACAGACCCCACACAAAGUAAUACUACCCAGAAGAAGACCUUGUAUAAGACGGCUAGAACUAACAAACUUGAAAAUAUAUUAUUGACGAUACGCAUUCGGUAAAGCACACUAUGUUCAACACAACUGACCUAGAAUUUGAGAACUCUGUGACUUGGUGAGCCACAUCGUUAAAAUGGAAGAAGGUACAGACACUCCUCAAAACUGUAUUGUGCUUGAGGACCACUCGACUAAGGUUCCAACUAGAAUUUCUAAGCAUGUGCCCUUAACAUGCUUAGGCUUUAACAGAAGAUAUUUUACUGGGGAUGAGGUGAGCACUACCGCUAAAACCACCUCUUUGCAGCUAUGCCCUCAAAUUAUUACUGUAUUCAAGAUGGUUCCACUUCUCAGGAAAUUCUUAGCAUACCCUUAACAUGAAAGCUUCCACAGAAGGACGUCUAUUACUAUCCUGAGGAUGAGCUAUUCCAGGUACCCACACUGGAUAAAGGAUGGAGGACUUGCAAAUAAAUGUAUAUCUACACCUCGACCUUCAUUAUCAUACCUGCAAAAGGCUGAAGUGCAGAUUGAAUGCCCUUUAACCAGUUUCCGUCUAUGAAGGACAUAUUCGUACAUCAUAUUACACACGUUAACAAUAAUAUCGCAAAUGGAAAAACACUCUUUGCUACACACCAAGUGCUGUUACAAACGCCAAGUUGGGUCAAAUAAAUGUGUAUAUCAAAAAUGU